rnacentral:tRNA from 1 species
CGGGGCGUAGCGCAGUCUGGUAGCGCAUCUGCUUUGGGAGCAGAGGGUCGGACGUUCGAAUCGUCUCGCCCCGACCA